rnacentral:rRNA from 1 species
UACGAAGGGUGCAAGCGUUACUCGGAAUUACUGGGCGUAAAGCGUGCGUAGGCGGCCUGACAAGUCUGAUGUGAAAUCCCUGGGCUCAACCCAGGGCCUGCAUCGGAAACUGUCGGGCUUGAGUAUGGGAGAGGUGAGUGGAAUUUCCGGUGUAGCGGUGAAAUGCGUAGAUAUCGGGAGGAACACCUGUGGCGAAAGCGGCUCACUGGACCACAACUGACGCUGAUGCACGAAAGCUAGGGGAGCAAACAGG